rnacentral:rRNA from 1 species
GGGUCAGUAGGUUGGUCGUGCCACCGGUACGUACUGGUCUCACUGAUUCCUCCUUCCUGAAGAACCGUAAUGCCACUAAUUUGGUGUUGCGGGGAAACAGGACUGUUACUUUGAAAAAAUUAGAGCGUUUAAAGCAAGCUAACGCUUGAAUACAUUAGCAUGGAAUAAUGAAAUAGGACGACCGAUCCUAUUUUGUUGGUUUCUAGGAUUGACGUA